GACGAACGCUGGCGGCGUGCUUAACACAUGCAAGUCGAGCGGAGCGGCGAACGGGUGAGUAACGCGUGAGUAACUGCCCCCCUCUCUGGGAUAACAGUUGGAAACGGCUGCUAAUACCGGAUAGUGGGGGAUGACUCGCGUCCUAUCAGCUUUUUGGUGGGUUAGUGGCCUACCAGCGCGACGACUGGUAGCCGGCCUGGGAGGGCGACCGGCCACAUUGGUCUGCGAGACGCACCAAACUCCUACGGGAGGCAGCAGUCGGGAAUAUUGCACAAUGGGGGAAACUCUGAUGCAGCAACGCCGCGUGCGGGAUGCCGGCCUUCGGGUUGUAAACCGCUUUCAGCCAUGACGCGGUAGUGGCAGAAGAAGCACCGGCUAACUACGUGCCAGCAGCCGCGGUAAUUC
rnacentral:rRNA from 1 species